AUACGGAGGGGGCUAGCGUUGUUCGGAAUUACUGGGCGUAAAGCGCACGUAGGCGGCGCACGCAGUCAGAGGUGAAAGGCCUGGGCUCAACCCAGGAACUGCCUUUGAUACUGGUGUGCUAGAGUCCGGGAGAGGGUAGCGGAAUUCCCAGUGUAGAGGUGAAAUUCGUAGAUAUUGGGAAGAACACCAGUUGCGAAGGCGGCUACCUGGCCCGGUACUGACGCUGAGGUGCGAAAGCGUGGGGAGCAAACAGGAUUAGAAACCCCGGUAGUCC
rnacentral:rRNA from 1 species